GACGAACGCUGGCGGCGUGCUUAACACAUGCAAGUCGAGCGGUAAGGCCCUUUCGGGGGUACACGAGCGGCGAACGGGUGAGUAACACGUGAGCAAUCUGCCCUUCACUUUGGGAUAACCACCGGAAACGGUGGCUAAUACCGGAUACGACCGCCCCGGUCAUCUGGUGGUGGUGGAAAGUUAUGGCGGUGGAGGAUGAGCUCGCGGCCUAUCAGCUUGUUGGUGGGGUAAUGGCCUGCCAAGGCGACGACGGGUAGCCGGCCUGAGAGGGUGACCGGGCACAGUGGGACUGAGACACGGCCCGGACUCCUAAGGGAGGCAGCAGUGGGGAAUAUUGGACAAUGGGCGAAAGCCUGAUCCAGCAACGCCGCGUGAGGGAUGACGGCCUUCGGGUUGUAAACCUCUUUCAGUACCGACGAAGCGAGAGUGACGGUAGGUACAGAAGAAGCACCGGCCAACUACGUGCCAGCCGCCGCAGUAAAAC
rnacentral:rRNA from 1 species